GACGAACGCUGGCGGCGUGCUUAACACAUGCAAGUGGUGCGACGAACCAGGCUUCGGCCUGGGGCAGAGCCGCGAACGGGUGAGUAACACGUGGGCAACCUGCCCUGUUGAUCGGAACAACCCGGGGAAACCCGGGCUAAUACCGAAUGUGGUGCCGGCUCAUGAGAGCCGUCACGAAAGAAGCUUCGGCCUCCGCGACAGGAUGGGCCCGCGGCCCAUUAGCUUGUUGGUGGGGUAAUGGCCUACCAAGGCAACGAGGGGUAGCUGGUCUGAGAGGACGAUCAGCCACACUGGGACUGAGACACGGCCCAGACUCCUACGGGAGGCUGCAGUGGGGAAUCUUGCGCAAUGAGCGACAGCUUGACGCAGCAACGCCGCGUGGGGGAAGAAGGCUUUCGGGUCGUAAACCCCUUUCAGUUAGGACGAAGCUUUAUUGGUUAAUAACCAAUUAGAGUGACGGUACUUUCAGAAGAAGCCCCGGCUAACUACGUGCCAGCAGCCGCAGUAA
rnacentral:rRNA from 1 species